rnacentral:rRNA from 1 species
CCUACGGGUGGCAGCAGUCGAGAAUCAUUCACAAUGGGGGAAACCCUGAUGGUGCGACGCCGCGUGGGGGAAUGAAGGUCUUCGGAUCGUAAAACCCUGUUGUUAGAGAAGAAAGUGCGUGAGAGUAACUGUUCACGUUUCGACGGUAUCUAACCAGAAAGCCACGGCUAACUACGUGCCAGCAGCCGCGGUAAUACGUAGGUGGCAAGCGUUAUCCGGAUUUAUUGGGCGUAAAGGGAACGCAGGCGGUCUUUUAAGUCUGAUGUGAAAGCCGUCGGCUUAACCGGAGUAGUGCAUUGGAAACUGGGAGACUUGAGUGCAGAAGAGGAGAGUGGAACGCCAUGUGUAGCGGUGAAAUGCGUAGAUAUAUGGAAGAACACCAGUGGCGAAAGCGGCUCUCUGGCCUGCAACUGACGCUGAGGUUCGAAAGCGUGGGUAGCAAACAGGAUUAGAUACCCUAGUAGUC